UCUCUUUCUAUUAGGAUGGCUAAACUGGGAGAAUGUGAAUCUGGAGCUGCCCAGUGGAGAGCUCUUGUUUGUGCAGGAAGCUAAGCAGAGUCAAGCAAAAGUGAGAAGCGCAAGGAGAGAUGGUUCUUGAGAUGGAGUCUGGCUAAUAUGGGGGCUUAGGUGGAAAGAAACUGAUGGGCCCACCUGUCACAGACAAGAGAGGACUUAGAACCCAUUCCUGCAGAGAUUAAUGCUACACUUCCCUCAAAGGGGGUCUUUAGAGAGCCUGGCCUGGGACAUCCACAAAAUGAAAUCCCUGGAAUGAAUGGAGUCUUAGAAGGCAAUUUUGAGCCAAGGAGAUGAGCAACACCUUGUGCCCUCACUGCCCCUUCCUGCCCACCACACAUCGCAAGAAUGGGGUCCUUCAGCCCGGCGUGCUCUUCUGACUCCGCCCUCUAUACGCUUUUGCUUGCAGCAGUAGAGCCACAAUUGUUGAGUAACAAAAACCUAGCAAUCAAAUGUUUUGAUUCUUUAUCUCCUGAUUGAUAGCAGAGUUUCAAGAAAGUACUUUGACAAGUAGCUUAAUAAUAAACGUAUGAAAAGAAAACACAACUGAUGAAAGAAGGAUAAGACAUUGAUCUGCA